rnacentral:rRNA from 1 species
GAACGAUGAAGCCGGAGCUUGCUCUGGUGGAUUAGUGGCGAACGGGUGAGUAACACGUGAGUAACCUGCCCCUGACUCUGGGAUAAGCGCUGGAAACGGCGUCUAAUACCGGAUAUGCGCUGUAACCGCAUGGUUUGCAGCGGGAAAGAUUUAUCGGUUGGGGAUGGACUCGCGGCCUAUCAGCUUGUUGGUGAGGUAAUGGCUCACCAAGGCGUCGACGGGUAGCCGGCCUGAGAGGGUGACCGGCCACACUGGGACUGAGACACGGCCCAGACUCCUACGGGAGGCAGCAGUGGGGAAUAUUGCACAAUGGGCGCAAGCCUGAUGCAGCAACGCCGCGUGAGGGAUGACGGCCUUCGGGUUGUAAACCUCUUUUAGCAGGGAAGAAGCCUUCGGGUGACGGUACCUGCAGAAAAAGCGCCGGCUAACUACGUGCCAGCAGCCGCGGUAAUACGUAGGGCGCAAGCGUUAUCCGGAAUUAUUGGGCGUAAAGAGCUCGUAGGCGGUUUGUCACGUCUGCUGUGAAAACUGGAGGCUCAACCUCCAGCCUGCAGUGGGUACGGGCAGACUAGAGUGCGGUAGGGGAGAUUGGAAUUCCUGGUGUAGCGGUGGAAUGCGCAGAUAUCAGGAGGAACACCGAUGGCGAAGGCAGAUCUCUGGGCCGUUACUGACGCUGAGGAGCGAAAGGGUGGGGAGCAAACAGGCUUAGAUACCCUGGUAGUCCACCCCGUAAACGUUGGGAACUAGUUGUGGGGGCUUUUCUACGGUCUCCGUGACGCAGCUAACGCAUUAAGUUCCCCGCCUGGGGAGUACGGCCGCAAGGCUAAAACUCAAAGGAAUUG